AAAAACCAUCGUCUCAUUAGGCGGUUACCUCGAGUAGGUCGGCGAAUCAUUGGAAGACACUAGAGAGGCCCUUGGGCUUGGUAUGUCGGAAACCCUAUUGGAGGCCUUUGGUGAUUCGACGACCCUGAUAGAGACAAUUUAUUUAAUCAAUUACACAAACUUUUAUACAUCCAUUAAAUAUAUUUUUGUACUUUGAUAGAUUGAAUUAGCUAGGGUGUCAAAUGCGCCGAACUUUGGCUAUAAACCCAGGCUCGGGCUCUGCUCGAUAAGGAAUUCCACAAUCUUGUUGGUCUCGCGAGCUCGAGCCGAGCUUAACAUGACACCCUACAAUUAGCCAUAAAAGAGAUCUUGACUAGAUCGAAGUAUGUUGAAGAUUUUGAUAAGAUAAUGGAAAACUUUGUGUGAGAUUAACAAUGGCCCAAUGUUAAUAUUCAACCCGAUUACCCCAAUAUUCAACCCGAUUUUGUUCUACAAAACAAGAAAACAAAAUAAAAUGAGACAAAAUCCCCAAUGAACAACCAUGUCUCAUACAAUAAAAUAAACAAAAAUCAUAAAUAAUAUUUGAAACAGAUAACAACUAAUAUUGAACCAAGUUCAUACAAUGAAGCUUCAAAUAAUCCAAAAUGAAUUGAAGCAAUGGAAAAUGAAAUGAGAGAUUUAAAUGAAAACAACACAUGAACUCUCACAAGGCUUCCUAAAAACAGAAAAUCCAUUGGAUCAAAAUGGAUUUAUAAAAUUAAAUAUAAGCCAAAUGGCCAAGUAGAAAGGUAUAAAGCAAGACUUAUUGUCAAAGGUUUUACACAAAAAGAGGAUUUCAAUUUUUUGAAACUUUUUUACUUGUAGUUAAAAUGGUAACUAUAAAAACUAUAAUAUCAGCUGCAGCCAUUAAAGGCUGGAACUUAUAUCAAUUAGAUGUAAAUAAUGUCUUUUUACAUGGUGAUUUACAUGAGAAGGUAUAUUUGAAACCUUCACAAGGCUUACUUGAAGAAAAAGAUAAGAGAGUGUGUAAGCUAAAUAAGUCAUUGUAUGGUCUCAAACAAGAGAAGCUGGUUUGAGAAAUUAAGAGAAGUCCUCUUAGAAAUUGGAUUCUCUUAAGCAAAAUCUGAUUGUUCCCUUUUCAUUUGAGAAAAAAAUCAGAAUAUACUAUACCUCAUUGUAUAUGUAGAUGAAAUUAUCAUCACAGGUAACAAUGAGUUGGAAAUUGGGAUAAUAAAAAAGAUUCAACUAGAAAAUCAAUUCAAAUUAAAGGAUCUUGGAAGAUUAAACUACUUUCUAGGUAUUGAGGUGUCCUACUCUUCUCAGGCCAUAUAUUUAUCCCUAGGGACCUCUCACAUGCUUAACAAACGUUUUACCAUUUGCGCUACAUCUCCAUUCUCUCUAAAUUUAAUAUUUUUUUAGUUUUUUACACUUGGACUCGAAUGAAAUGAAAUAAUUAUUUAAAAACAUGGGGGAUCGAACCCAUGACUUCUCAAAUACUAAACAAAUCUUUUACCAAUAUGCUACACCUCUAUUCUCUUUAAAUUUAAUAUUUUUUUACUUUUUUAUACCUACCAACGAGCCCACUCGAGCUUAACGAGCUUGAGGCUCGGGCUCGGGCUCGUUGGGCUCACGAGCCCGAGCUUAAACGAAUCGAGCCCGAGCCGGGCUUUAUUUGACACCCUAUUUAUUUCAAAGGAAAUAUGCACUAGGAAUACUAGAAGAGUCUGGUCUUUUUGGUGCAAAACCAUUCCAAUGGAAAGGUACGUAGAUCUAAAAAAUGAUAAAUCUACAUUAAUUCAAAACCUAACAUUCUAUAGAAAGAUGGUUGAGAAACUAAUAUACCUAAACAUAACAAGACCUAAUCUAAGCUUCUCAGUAAACUGGCUGAGUCAGUUUAUGCAUGAACCAAGAAAGAUUCACCUUAGGGUCCUAUUUAAAUUAAUAAGGUAUAUUAAAAAUGCUUCAGGAUAGGGAUUGCUAUACAAUAGAAAUGGAAACAUGAUGAUUAGAGGGUAUUGUGAUGCUGAUUGGGCAGCUUGCCAAAUUAGCAGAAAAUCCUUAACUGAUUUUUGUAUUAUGCUAGGAGAUUCACUAAUCUCUUGGAAAACCAAGAAACGGAACACAAUAGCCAAGUCAUCAUGUAAGACAGAGUACAAAGCUAUAGAUCAAGUAACCUGUGAAAUUGUAUAAAUCCACCAAUUAAUGGAGGAACUUAAGAUAAAAAUCAUAAUACCCACAGACCUCUACUGUGACAACAAAUCUGCAAUUCAUUUAGCAAAUAACCCAGUCUUCCAUGAGAGGACAAAACACAUAGAGGUGGAUUGUCAUUUCAUAAAGGAGAUGAUAAAUCAAAAGAAAAUCAUAUUGAAACAAAUUGGAACUAAGUUCCAACUUGCUGAUUUUCUAACAAAAGCUCUUGGUGAGAAGGAAAUUACAGCAUUUCACUCCAAGCUUGGAAUAUUAAAUAUAUAUUCCAAGGCUUGAAGGGGGAGUAAAGGAAUUAGAUAGUUAAUUCCAUUGUAAUUUCUUUAUAAUUACUGUAAAUCAUAUAAUCAUCUGUUGAGGACUUAAAACCAAUUAUCUAUUAAAGUACACUAUGCAGGUAAAUAACUCAAGACUAGCGUGAGGCAUAACAAAGAAACUUGAGGCCGUUAAUACAAAAGUUUUAAUAAAAGUUAUGCUUAAAUAAUAUCAAGAAAGCUUGGAAUAGAAGAUGUAAAAGUUUCAAUAAUGCAAUUGGGCUAAUUGUCAAGUUGGGCUACACGAUGGGCCGAAGAUUAAUAAAUAUUAGUAUUGAAAUAUUGUUAAAGAUUAGUUGAUGAUUAGUCUAAUUGUGCUAUAAAUAUCAUUGUAAACAGUGAGUUAAUUAAUUCAAUUACUCUUAGACUGUUUAACAGUUUAAAUCAUUCUUAGCAUCUUCUAACGGAUUCUAAGGGAACAGUUAGUUCGAAGAACCCUAGAAUCCACCCCUUUUCUUGCGAGAGCAAUUGCUGGCUAAAUUCGCCAGCCCCAGAUUCAAUUCACAUCCGGGAAGCAUCCGCGCACACGUUUUAUCAGAUAUUUGGUACGAUGAAUGCAAAUCAGAGUACCUGACGUUAUAUCCGCGUCUCAUUUAACACUAAAUUAUGUUGCAGUUAGAGGAUCAGAAGAUUUCAUACUCUAAAAAUAAACAAUAAUUCAUGAAAGCAAAAUUAAAAAAACUAAAAACGAACGAAAUGACAAAACAAAUAGUGAAAGAAAGGGAAAAAGACAAUGUUGGUCGAUUACGAGUACAUUACCGUAAAAAAUAAUUGUAGAUGCUUCGUAGGACGAGGGGAACACAAAAUCUGAAAAGAUUCUUGUACACUAUGCUCAACGAAUGGUACGCAUAACCUGUCAAAAAUAGGAAGCGCAAAACGCAAAAAAUUUGGUUAGUUUAGACAGGAAGAGAAAACAAAGUUGAGGACAACGGAGACUAAUACAACGACUACGGAAAUCACAGAAGAAACGACGACGGUAGCCACAAAAAGGGGAUAGAAACUAAAAAACGGAACGACGAUCGCAGAACAGCAGGAUACCGGAACACCGGACGAAGAGAUAACCGCAACGAAGAAACAACCUAAACAGUAACUAGGAAAAGGUUUCCAUUGUAGGAAGUUGAGGGAGGAGGUAGAAUGGAGACAAGGGCAGAAGGGUAGAACAGAGGCGAAACUCGAAAGGAGACUACAGUAGAAGGUUCGAAGGUAGUGGACGGUAGAAGGGAGAACAAGGAAGAAGGUAGGAGGAAGAAAACAGUGUCUUGGUGUGAUUGUUGAAAAUUGAUGAAAGGGAUUCAAUUAAAUAGGGAGUAAAGGUAACUAGAAUGACAGGACAUAUGUUUAGGCUGGGUAGGAGUGCAGUGGAGUAGUAGAUGUUGUAGCAAUUAAGGAGGUUAAGGUUUAUCAGUUAAUGAUGUUUUUAAUCAUAGUGCGCAGGGAUGACAUUCUAUGUUGUGAAAUUUAUAUAUUAACCCUUGAGAAAUAUUAAUAUAUUGUGAAAAAUGCAUUUAACCCCUUUAUAAAAAAUUAUUAUAUAUAUAUCCUUAUUUUCCCCAAAUUUCAUUGGGGGCAAUUGCCCUCCCUUGCCACCCCCUGCUACGCCACUUAAGGCGAGCCCUGCAGGCAACCCCAGAGAUCAUUGUCGUUCACUUCUCCGGUGGACUAGUUUUUCCGUGGACUCAACGAUCAUGUCUCAUUAUUAAAGGGGGUGAUUAAAACUUUAUCAUUUGCCCGAAAGAUUACUUAAAUGGAGAACGAUAUGAUAAAAAUAGAUAAUUAGCUUUGAGUCUUUGAAAAUGUUAUUUUAUUAGAUAUAUUAUUGAUGGUACUCAGGUUCAAACAAACUAGAUCGGCAACAGAUCAAGUCUACAAAAACCUUAUAAAUAUACUCGGACACAUAUAGUGAAAGGAACUUUUUAUCUUUUAUUAGAAAUCACAGUAGAGUAAAAAAGAGCAGAAAGAUUGUGAGUUAUCAUGAGUUGUUUAAGUAUUAUUACAAGAGAAUAAUGUAUUAAUAUUUAUACCAUCAAUUAAACUUUAAACUUAAAUGUUGCUUUUUUUUAAACAUUAAAUGUUUAUUAAUUUAAGUUUUAAAUUUUUAACUAAUUUGUUAAACCUGCUCUGACUGCCCAUUUACUUCUUUUUUAUUUUAUAUAUUUUUUUUUUUAAAAAGACGAUCUAGAUAAAAUAAGAUAAAAAGAUUACAAGUUACAAUAAAAAAAGCGAUUAAGUAAGCAACUAAAAGUAGAUAGGAUGUAUGGAAUGAAUAUGGCGUGUUAAUCCUCGGUUUGUAGGUCAGUAACCAAUAACGAGGCUUCCUCCCAUCUUCUGCUAGCUGUAUGAGGAAUCUGGUGUUCGCGAAAAGAGGUCGAUUUGUCGCUUGUAGUCAAAGACGUGGAACCACGACCGCUCAGGCGCUCGCUCGCGGACACUCCGGCACUCGCCCGCGGACACUCCGGUGCUCGCUCUUCUGUCAGACGCUCGCGGAGAACCCACCAGACUCGCUCGCUCACGGAGAACCCAAGGUGGUCGCUCGCGGAGACCCCGCUCGCUCACAGAAACCCAAGGCACUCGCUCGCUGCUUGUCCUAGAGAACCCAUGACGCUUGCUUCGCUCAGAGCAAGACGGUGCUCGCUCCUCUGUCAGACGAAGCGUACGCGGAGAACCCAAAAAUGCUAGCACGCGGAGAACCCAAAAAUGCUAGCACGCGGAGAACCCAAAACGUCGCACAUGGAGGACCCACCAGAUUUGUUCGCUCGCGGACAGAUUUUCCUUCUCUCUCGGUCAGACUCCUUCACUUGGCGCAUUUAUACUCCUAUUAAAAACAUUACAGCGAGACUUAAGGAUGCAGAUAAGAUCAACUAAAACUCGACUCGACCGGUUCGGUUCGUUAAACUCGGGUUCGCGAGCCUAACUAACCGAACUUGAGUCUAAAGCUCAAGCUCGAUAAGCUGAACUCGAGCUUAGACUUUUCAAACUCGACUCUCGAUAAACUCGUUAAAGGAUUUUUAAUAAUUAAAUAAAAUAUAGAUAUAAGAGUUAUAGGAAUAAAUUAUAAGAAAUUUUUUAAAAAAAUCUAAAUCUAAAAAAAAAAUUAAAUAUAGAUAUAGAUAUUUUUAAGGAGCCGAGAGCCUGAACUUAGAUGAUUUUUUUAGACUUUGGAUUCGGAGAUUAAUAUAUUAUUAUAUUAAAAUGUUAAAUGUCAGUAUUAAUUAAAUACAAGUAUUUAAGUAUUUUGAGGUUUUUUUUUUUUUUUGAAAAAUUAAAUUUUUAUUAUUGAAAAGUGGUUAGGCAUAGCCCAAGAUUACAGAAUAUAGGGAAAUGUAAGUACAGUAAAUGUAAAAACAUUGUUUAUCACUUAUACAGCUAUGACCCUGACUAACUGGUCAAGGACUGAAGUCUCAAAAGGUUGGACUCUUAUGAACGUAGAGCAUUUUUCAAUUUGUAAAAGAUUGUGUUUCUUAUAGGAUGUAGAUCAUAAGCAAUGCUCACAACCUUUAUAAUUUACUUAUAAGUUACGACUUAUAAGUAUUUUAGAGCUACAACUUAUAAGUUAAAACAUUAAAAUUUACUUAUUUAUUUGUUAGUCCAUCUAGAACUUUAAAUAAAGAGUCUAAGGUUCAAAAGUUAAUUAUUUAUUAUGUUAUCACCCCUAUAUAAAUAUUUAUAAAGUAUUCCCUAUAUAUUUAUAUUUAUAUUUAUAUUAGGGAGGGUCCAAACCCAUAAUUUAAGAAUUGAAUAAGUGACAUAGUGUAGACAUUGAGACAUGCAUGCAUGAGAGGUCCAUGUGAGGGGAACAUGGCCGGAGUUGCUGCAUGCUCUCUCCAAUCCCUUUCACAGCUCACCAUCAAUCAAAUACUUUCCCCACCACAUGGCCGUGCUUUUAUUCCUCCUUCUCCUCCUCCUUCCACAUGCUUCCCAAACCCGCCGGUCUCUCGUUGGUUAUAGCUAACUAUCAUUACCGUGCAGCUACUUCGAUUCAAAAUUACCGGUGAUUGGGUCUACUGUUCCCGCUGAACAUUCUGGUAAUGGCGACACAUGCCGAUUGGCAGAGGGCGGCGACGUCGUGGGUUGAUGAAUUCCUCGACGUCUCAUCUGCUAACAAGAAGAACGUGCAUUGGAAGGAGAAGAUCAGUGGCAUGGAAGAGAAGGAAUGUGACGCCAGCAGGGAAAGGAGUGGAAGCAAUAAGCGUGAAGCGCCGGGGAAUUAUGAUGAUGACGUUGACGAAGAUGAUAAUCGCUAUCAGCACAGACACCAGCGUCUUCGGCUCAGGAGACUACUCUGUGAUCAUGAUGAUGAACAGGUUACGUCGAUGUUGACGGAAUCGGUUCCCACGUCGGAGGAUACUAACAGUGAAGGUGCUAAUGGAAAUGAGAAAGGAGAAGAAGAUUUCUUCAAAAUGCCGUCGACUGUUGCCAAAAACUCAGCGACGGAAAUCGUCAAGAAUGAAUCUCAAAUCAUUGACCCUAAAAGGAUAAAGAGGUAUUCCUGAUACGUAUAUACAUAUAUUUCAAGUCAAUCAUGCGAUUUGUUCUUCUUGUGGACACCGGAGUAAUUAUAUACCUCCGAUCAGAAUCUUAGCCAACCGGCAAUCCGCCCAGAGAUCGCGAAUUCGGAAGGUCCAGUAUAUAUCGGAGCUGGAGAGAAGCGUGUCAUCUUUACAGACCCAAGUCUCUGUUCUGUCCCCUCGUGUGGCUUAUCUCGACCACCAACGUUCUGCUCUCACCGUCGGCAACAGCGCUCUCCGACAACGCAUCGUCACACUCGCCCACGAGAAGAUCUUUAAAGACGGUAAAUGAUAUAUAUAACUCCAAACCACGUCAGACCAUUGAUCUGAGUUGUUGAAUUUGCGUGAUUUUAGCUCACCAGGAGGCGCUGAAGAAGGAAAUUGACAGACUUAGACAAGUGUAUCAGCAGCAAAACCAUCCCAAAACAUCCGCCGUCGAAUCCAUCAGUCUUGAUUCUUGAGCUUUGACUCUUGGUUUUUCUUCUUCAAGAAUUUUUAUUGUUGUUAUAAUAUUUUAAUUCAAAUAAUCUGGACCGUGGGAUUUUAAUCCCAUGGUCGUGAUUGACGCCAUACUCCAUAGCACAUUUAAUAUAUCCAUUCAUUGAUUAAUCGCCGGAUUUGUAUCAUCGUCGUCUGGAUUUGAUUCUCGGAGAAGAAGAUCGAGAUUCCCAACGCCGGCAGGAGGACCGAUGCUACAUCGUGCAGUGAGGUGUGUCGCAAUGGCUUCUUUUAUUUUUUUGAACUGAAAAUUCAAUCACACAUAUUGAUUUCUCGAUUUCUUUUUGACAUUAACAUUGAAAUUUGAAAGUAAACCUAAUUACCUUUGGGAGUGAGCAUGAAAAGGCAUCUAAGAGACCAUCAGCACCACGGUAGAAAUGGAAAUAAGGAAGAACCUUGACAUUCAAUCGUCUGCACAUUGGUUUGUUCGCAUCGAAAUCGACUUUCACAAACAAGAGAUCGGAAUGUUGCUGCCCAACCGUUUUGCAAAGCUAACAGAUUCAACUAAAACAAGCUGAGCAUCUAACUUACUUUGAUUACAAAUCACAAAUCACUCGUUCGCUCACCCUUGGAAAGAUUGCACGGCAAGAGGCACACCAAGUUCCAUAAAAUUCAACCAAGACGAGCUUAUCUCCUGCCUCACACAGCGCGUUCAAGAAUUCCUCCGUCGACCUCACAUCGAUCGUGUUUGCAGGAGCGUUUCGUUCCCACCACUUGGGUCGGUCGCUUCUAUCAACUGCCUGAAUUAUAUAAUAAAACCAAAAUAACCCAAAUUCAUAAAAAUAACCCGAAAUCCGAAGAUGAUCCAAUUAAAUUUCUUUCCAAUUUCCAGUUUAAAACCCCCAUCACAUUCACAGACCUUUAUCGACCUAAAUCUCCGAGGAAGACGGUGAGAAACCGAACCAGAAGGACCGCUAAACACAGACUGCAAGGAGGAGAACGAGAACGGCGAUGGAGAGGAUGGAAACAGUAGUUGCUGGGGAGAAUGCUUGAGGAGAGAAGAGAACCCAACUACAAGCAAUCGAUUGGUCAUUGUGGGAAUUGGAAACAAGAGAUGGAUGAGAAAGCGAUCGAGAUCAAUGAUCGAAACUUGAAUGGAUUUUUUUCUUUCUUUUUUGCUUCCUUCUGCCGUCUUUUUUGAGAUUUUGAUAAAUUGACGGUUGUUAAUUUUUGGAUGUCGUCAUUGUCGAUCUGUCCAUUUCCAUUAACGGGGUUUGAUAACUAAGAGACCCAAUAGCAAAUAUAUAAAAAUAGGCCCAAGAGUCUUUAAAAAUAUAAGCCAAUUAAAGGCCCAAAUCACAUGAAUAUCAUAAGGACCUAACUGUUUUUAAGACAGUUUUUAGACUUUAUUAAAACAAAACAUAAGCAAGGCCCAAUCACUGACAUUGCCAUGAUCUCUGAAAAUUCUCAGCUCCAAAGGGAGGAGAUUCAAAAUGAACAGACCAAAAAUCAGAGCGUCAUUGCCCAAGCUUUGCAGAACUUGAUAGAGCUCAUUGUCAAAAGAACAGGUAGUUAUUUUGCAGAUCGGAGGACUCCAAUCUUCGAGAUACGUAGUAAUACUUAGGGUUUGGUAAUAGUAUUAUAUGUGUUUUGUUGAAAACAAUUAUGCUUUUAAUUACGUAUGUAUUAUGCUACUGAAUAUCUGUUUGCUGCAAACUUCUUAAAUUAUAUAUAUGCUCACUUAAAUCAUAUAUGUUUAAGUAUGGUUUAUUAUGCUUGCUUGAUUAAUUUAAAAUCGCAUUUGUGGAACAACUAAUUUAAGUGUAGAGUAUAUAAUACAAGGGGUAUGUUAUAAAUAUUACAUACUAACAUUAGUUAUAUUAUAUAUACAGCUCGCCUCAUAGGCGGACGUCCGCAGUGAAGAGCGGGCUGCGGAUGAGUUCUCCUGGAGGAGAGGAACUCCUGCAAUGUGCUUCGUCGGAUUUCAAAUCACCUGUCGGAACCGACGUCCGGCGAUCGUCCGCAUCGUGCGGAUCUGCGUCCAUUAUAUAUAUACUAUUGAUUGUAAAAUAGAUAUUUAUUCUCGUUCAUUAUAUCGAAUACAAUCAGUUACGUUUCUUGCAACAUCUUUCUCCAGAUUUCUUCCAGAUCUGCGUUCAUUAUAUAAAAGAGUUUGCAAGCUAAACAAAUCCCUACAUGGACUAAAACAGACAUCUAAGAAUUUGUUUGCUAAAUUAAAAGGAGUUCUCCUUGAAAUGAAAUUUACUCAAACACCAUCUGAUUAUUCAUUAUUUGUCAAAAACAACAAUGAAAAUACAAUAUACCUAUUAGUCUAUGUUGAUGAUAUUAUCAUCACAGAGAAUAAUGAAACAGAAAUAUUCCUAAUCAAGAAAAAAAUUGAAAAAAAAUUGAAAAUUAAAGAUUUAGGAAAAUUAUCCUACUUUUUAGGUAUUGAAGUAUCAUACCCAUCAGAAAGUAUAUAUCUAUCACAAAGAAAGUAUGCACUUGGCAUCUUAGAAGAGAGUGGCCUCAUGGAAACCAUCAAAAAUACCCAUGGAGAGGCAUAUAAAUCUAAAAAAUGAAAAGGCAAAGGUCCUAACAAACCCAACAUUUUAUAGGUCACUGGUGGGUAAACUAAUUUACCUAAACAUCACUAGACCUGAUCUAAGCUUCAAUGUCCAUUGGUUAAGCCAAUUUAUGGGGAACCCAAAUGAGAUUCAUCUUCAAGUCUUACUCAAAGUAAUAAGAUAUCUCAAAAAUGCCCCUAGACAGGGCAUAUUAUACAAAAAUGAAAACCAAAUGGACUUUCAUGGGUAUUAUGACUCAGAUUGGGCUUUAUGCCAAAUUAGCAGAAAGUCAUUAUCAGGAUACUGUAUGUUCUUAGAAACAUCUUUAAUAUCCUGGAAAUCUAAAAACAAGACACUGUUUCCCUAUCAUCUUGUGAAGCUGAAUAUAAAGCCAUUAAUAAAGCUCAAUGUAAGAUACUAUGGCUACAUCAGUUCUUCAAAGACUUAAAAAUAAAAAUGACAAUGCCAACAUCAUUGUACUGUGAUAAUAAGUCAGCAAUAUACCUGGCUAAUAAUUCAGUAUUUCAUAAGAGAAGCAAACACAUAGAAAUUACAUGUCACUCAAUAAGAGAAAAGAUAGAAAAAGGAGUAAUUCUCUUAAAACAAGUUGGCACCAAAUACCAACUUGCAGACAUUUUCACCAGAUCUUUAGGUGAAAGUGAGAUUUCAGCAUUCUCUGUCAAGCUAGGAAUUCACAAUGCGUAUUCCAAAGUUUGAGGGGGGGGGAGUAUAAGAAUAUAGCUGAAAUAAACAUGUAAUUAGCUUGACUAAUUACCUUGGAGUAUUAAAACAGACCUGUAAUUAAAACAGAGUUCUGAAAUAUAAAGAAUUAAAAUGUAAUAAACAACUCAUAUAAUAUAUUUAACUAAUUCUUCAUUAAGUGUUACUAUACAGGUAAUUUACCCAACACUUGAAAUUUGGAUAUAAUAGAAGCUGGAGGACUAAAGCACAGAAGUUUCAAUAAAUUGUUUAAAUUGAAUGGACCAUUAUAAACGGGCCAGAAGGUGUUGGGCUGAUUAUUUGUAAUAUAGUUAAGAUAUUAGUUAACAUUGUUUGUAAUAAAUAAGAAUCGUAAUUAGCAUUUUAAUUCAAUGAAAAAUUACAUCAGUUAAUCAAAUCAAAGAUUAACAAAGAAAUUAAACACACUUCUUUUCCCCCUCUCUUCUUUCUUUCUCAGCGACAGUUUUUACAAGUAUUCCCCCAAAUCUAUUGGGUGGAAAACCCUACUGUCCAAAUCGAGUGCUCCCUCAGAACAUUGUCAACCGGACUCCGAGAAAGUCGCUGACGCAUCCUCCAGCUCCACAUUUUAUCACAUGAGGCCAUUAUAUGCCCAAGUAGGUUUGAAUAUUCUGUUUAAGCUAAUGAUCUUCAUCAUGAGAUGAAUGCUCUACACAUGUCAGGAGAGCAGCUUAUGAAUGGUUUGUAGACACUGGAGUUGCAACCCACAUGACCAACAAUGAAGGUAAUUUAGAUUAUUCAAAACCUUAUAUAGGAAAAAAAUGUGUAAUAGUUGGAAAUGGCAAAGAACUUGAAAUUUCAUAUAAAUAAAAUAAAACAUUGCAAUUAGAAGAUAAUAAAAAAUUAUAUUUAAAAAAUGUCUUAGUAGUACCUAAGAUAAAAGGAAAUGUCCUUUCAUAGAUUAACAAAAUAUUAUCCUUUUGUUUUUGAAUUUGAUUCUACUCAUUUUUUGAUUAAGGAUCCUCUGAGGAGAACUAUAGUAGCCAAGGGUAAAAGGACUAAAGAUGAUCUUUACACACUAGAAUCAAAGGAGGUUGGGUUUCACUCAUUAGAGGUAACAAAAGGUGAAAGUGAAGCUAUUUGACACCAUAGAUUAGGACAUUGUAAUAAACAUAAAUGAUUGGAGUAAUAAAAAUAGUAAAUGUUUGGGUUGUAUGAUGGGGAAGAUGUCAAAGCUUCUUUUUAAAGCUUCUUAAUCAAACUCAAAUUUUGUUUUUGAAAAGAUACAUUGUGACAUCUGGGGCCUUCUCCAAUUUCGUCCAAAUUAAAUGUUAGAUUUUAUGCUUGCUUGGUUGAUGAUCUAAAUAAAUUUACAUGGUUUAUUCUUUUAAAAUUUAAGUCUGAAUUUACUGAAUCUUAUCUAAAUUUUGAAAAAUAUAUUUUUAGACGAUUCGAUAAAAAAAAUUAAGAUUUUUUAAUGUGACGGUGGAGGUGAGUUUUGCAACAACAAAUUGCAAGCUCAUUUCAAAAAUGAAAGAAUUAGGAUGCAAAUAUCUUAUUCCUCAAUACCACAACAAAAUGGUGUGGCUGAGAGGAGAUAUAAAACUAUUAGAGAACAUGGGUUAUCUCUAAUGUUUUAUAAUAAAAUGCCACAAAUAUAUUGGGUAGAAGCAUUUAAUACUGCUACUAAUUACCUUAUGAACAAAACUCUUUCUGUUGUUUUAGGGAACAUCUCACUAUGAGAAAUUAUUUGAAAAAAAUCAGAUUAUAAAAGUUUAAGGAGCUUUGGUUGUCAAUGCUAUCCUUAUAUUUGAGACACAAAAAUAAAUAAGUUUUCUCCCAAGUCUCUACCAUGUGUCAUGGUAGGAUACAGUAAAUAAUAUAAAGGUUUUAGAUGUUUAAAUUCAAAAACAGAGAAAAUAAUUAUUUCCAUACAUGUAGUGUUUGAUGAAUUGAAAUUUCCAUUUAAGGAAAUAAUAGAAGAGAAGACACAAGAGUGUAAUCAACCAAAGGAGAUUACAACAUUCUCUAGUUUAAACUUCAAAUUGAAACGUACAUUGUUUAAACCAAAGGAGAUUACAACAUUCUCUAGUUUAAACUUCAAAUUGAAACGUACAUUGUUUAAUCCAAAAUCAACUGAUAUUAUUAAAGAAAAUAAUAAGAAAAAAAUUGUAAACAGUGAGACUACUCAAACAGGAGUUAUUGUAGCAAGUGAGGGGGUACAAAGAGCAAUAAACACAAGUAGGAGUCUUGAAGAUCAGACUUGUAAUGGAUAUAGUCCAAAUAUAGAAAUUGAGGAACAAAUAAACUCACAAAAUAGAUCAGAAAAUAUAAAUGAAAAAACCUUAAUAUCAAUGAACAAGGUAGUUCAGAAACUAUCUUGCCCACAAUUCAUCUUACAACCACUAUAAUCACAAGGUUAAUGCUGGGAACACAUAAACCCAACCCAAAAUACUUUAAUCUUACACAAGUAAGAAAAAUUGAACCAAAAAAUGCUUAUGAAGCUCUAAAAGACAUAGAGUGGAAACAAGCUAUGACUGAAGUGGUAAAUGCUCUUAAAAGUCAGGGUACAUUUGAAAUAGUAAAAAAAGAACCUACAACGAGAAGUCUAAAAACUAAUUAAUGGGUAUGGAAAACAAAACUUAAGGUUGAUGGUACAAUAGAGAGACUAAAAGCCAUAUAUGUUGCCAAAGGCUUCAAUCAAAUUGCUGGAAGAGAUUUUUCUGAGACAUUCUCACCAGUAGUGAGAACAUGUACUAUCAGAUUGGUUUUAACUUUAGCUGUCCAAAAUAGAUGGAAUAUAAGGCAAUUAGAUAUUAAAAAUGUCUUCUUACAUGGGAUAUUGAAAGAAGAUAUGUUUGUAAAACAACCACAAGGAUUUAAGGAUGAAACAUAUCCAGAUCAUGUGUGAAGAUUAAAAAAAGCAUUAUAUGAACUUAAACAGGCUCCUAGGACAUGGUUUGAUACCUUGAGUAAAUUUCUUUUAGAAUCAGAUUUUAUCUGUAGUAAAACAGAUCCUUCACUGUUUAUUUACAAAAAUGGAAAGGAUUCCAUAAUGUUGUUAGUUUAUGUGGAUGAUCUGGUUUUAACAAGAUCAAAUAGAGAAUUAAUAGAGAAAUUUAUAAAAUGUUUAGAGAGAAAAUUUGUUGUUAAAGAUCUAGGCAAACUGCAUUAUUUCCUAGGAAUUGUUGAAUAAGUAUUAUACUGCAAGGAUGGAUUAUAUCUAACUCAAGCUAAAUAUGCUAAAGAAAUUCUCACUAAAUCAAAAAUGGAAAAUGCAAGACCUGUUAGCUUGCCAAUGGUAGCUAAGGAUAAAGAAGGAGAUAGUGAGUUAUUUUAUGAUAAAACCUUGUAUAGUUCUUUAGCAUUAGCUCUACAAUAUCUGACUAUAACAAGACCAAAUCUGACAUAUGCUGUGAAUCAUGUGUGUCAAUUUAUGCAUGCCCCAACCACAAAAAAAAUCAAUUUUAAAAAAAACUCAUGAGGUAUGUAAAUGGUACUAUUAAUCUGGGUAUGAAAAUGAAUCAUGUAUCUCAAACUAAACUCACAGUGUUUAGUGAUGCAGACUGGGCUAGAUGUUCAGUAACUAGAAGGUCAACGACUGGAAUUUGUGUAUUUUUUGGUUCAACAUACAUUUCUUGAGAGACAAGAAAACAAAAAACAAUUUCUAAAUCCAACAUUGAGGCAGAAUAUAGGGCUAUGUCUGCUGCAGCAUCUGAGAUUACUUGGAUAACACAUCUGUUAACAGACUUAGGGAUCAAGUUGUAUGAAACACCUCAAUUAUUUUGUGAUAAUUUGAGUGCACUACAACUCACUAUCAAUCCUAAGUUUCACAAAAAAUCAAAACACUUUGAGAUAGAUUUUCAUUAUGUAAGAGACAAAGUAGCUCAAGGACAACUGAUAACAAGAUUUAUCAGAAGUGAGGAACAAAUUGCUGAUUUGUUCACCAAACCAGUAGAAGCAACAAUUCUAGAAAAAUUGAAAAUGAAAAUUGGACUUAUUGAUCUUAAAGAUAUAACAAAAUUCAAAGAAAAAGGAUGAUAUGAUGAAUCUUCUUAUAUGUUAUUUAAUUUUACUUCUCUAAAAUAAAUAAAUAAAAGUUGUUGAUGUUUAGUUUCUAUUCAUGUUCUUUUCUUGAUAUUAAGACUUCAGAUUUUUUUUGCUGGUGUGGUAUGUUUGUAUGUGUGUUUGUUUUUGGUUUGGACAAAUGUCUUUGCAAGAUUACACGAGAACCAUUUUAAAUACUAGUAAUAUAUGUAGAGAAGAAAGUAGAUGAUAAAGAAAGAAUUGAGGUUCAAUUCAAAAAAAAUUUCUGAUACAGAGAAAAAAUUCAGAUUGUAUGUUUAUUCUGCAUAUUCUGAUACUAGUAAUGAAUAUAUGUGUAUGUUUGAGUGUGUGUUCUGGUAUAAAUAAUUAGUCACAGUAUGCACAUGAUUAUGAGUUUAAGUCUGGAUCUGUUAAAUCUAUGGUUGUAGUAGUGGUACAUACUCUAUUGCAGGUAGCCAAUGAGGAGGUACUGAGGCAGAAAAUGGACUGUGGAUCAUAAAUCUCAACUAUUGGGAUUAGUUGAUAUGAUGGUAGGGUUUUUCCCCAGAGAAAGACGGGAAAAACCGCAAAAAAAAAUUAAAAGAUGCCAAAGAGCACACCUGAGUUUUUUUUCACCCCCCUGUCAGGUAAUUCUCAAUCUAAGAGACUGAAGAUUUCAGAAGCAAAGAUUGACAGAAAAGAUGGUGUUUGCUGAUUGAGUUUUUGUUGGCAAAUCAAUAACACAUACUUGUGGUUUGGUUUGUGAGGGAAUUGAGAAGCUCAAAAACAUAAAGCAGAGACUGGUGUGAAACACUAUAAUUAGAAGACUGUAAAAACAGAAAUACUACAAUACAAAUAAACAAAGUCUACUCAUAUUUUAAAUGUAGAAUUAGUUUAUGGGGGAAUGUAGAGUAUAUAAUACAGGGGGUAUGUUAUAAAUAUUAUAUACUAACAUUAGUUAUAUUAUAUAUAUAUUAUUGAUUGUAAAACAAAUAUUUAUUCUCGUUCAUUAUAUUCAAUACAGUCAGUUGCGUUUCUUGCAACAUCUUUCUCCAGAUUUCCUCCCGAUUUCUUUCAGAUCUCGCUCAUUAUCACUAAGUUUCUGGAAUAUGACUGAAUCAAGAAGAAGAAAAUCCCUAGAGGGCCGGUGGUUAGUGAGGGAAAAAUACAAUCGCAAGGAAGAGAUAAGCACAAUGUGUGUGCAUGCAAAGAGGGGAAAGAUAACAGUAAGUCUUAUCAAACUUGAAAUCGCAGAUUAAUUUACCGUUGCAAAGGAGGAACAUGCACAGUAUGUGCGCAUGCAAAGAGGGGAAAAUAAACAGUAAGUUUUACCAAGGUGGAAAUCGCAGAUUUCCCAAGCAAGGCGACGGAUCGAAGAUUGCAAGAUUUCAAAGUUUGAUCGCAGAUUGUUCAGCUCUCUAGUCUCUACUCUUAUACCAUGAAGAAACUAAUGGUGUGAGAUUAACAUAAGGUAUAUAAAGAUUGAUAAGAAUAGAGUGCACAAAUAGUAAGAAUAACACGAUGACCGAAGGGCCGACAAGAAGAGAAGAACCAUUGCAUGCCUAGGGUUGGGAAUGGAGAUUUCCUGAGUUUUAUAUAUAUCAAAUGUAAAAGAAAUAUUUUUGAGUGAUUUCAGAUAAUUAACCUAACUUAAUCUAAACAUUACUUAUUUAUACUUAGGGUUUCAACUAAAGCUUUACUCGAUGGACUCAACUCGUUAAGCUCGGGCUC
rnacentral:lncRNA from 1 species